CACGUAGGGUGCAAGCGUUGUCCGGAUUUACUGGGCGUAAAGAGCGCGCAGGCGGUCGUUCAAGUCGCGUGUGAAAGCCCCCGGCUCAACUGGGGAGGGUCACGCGAUACUGAUCGACUCGAAGGCAGGAGAGGGUAGUGGAAUUCCCGGUGUAGUGGUGAAAUGCGUAGAUAUCGGGAGGAACACCAGUGGCGAAGGCGACUACCUGGCCUGUUCUUGACGCUGAGGCGCGAAAGCUAGGGGAGCAAACGGG
rnacentral:rRNA from 1 species